AUUCGAUCACCGAAGUUAAGCCACGUCGGGCCUUGUCAAGUACCUAGAUAGGGGACCGCUUGGGAAUAUCAGGUGCUGUAA